rnacentral:rRNA from 1 species
UUCCGGUUGCUCCUGCCGGCCCUGACUGCUAUCGGAUUGAUACUAAGCCAUGCGAGUCUUUGCAGUAAUGCAAGGCAUACGGCUCAGUAACACGUAGUCAACUUACCCUAUGGACGAGGAUAAUCUCGGGAAACUGAGCAUAAUACUCGAUAGAUCAUAAUGCCUGGAAUGGUUUAUGGUUGAAAUGAUUCGUCGCCAUAGGAUAGGACCGCGGCCUAUCAGCUUGUUGGUGAGGUAAUGGCCCACCAAGGCGAUUACAGGUACGGGCUCUGAGAGGAGAAGCCCGGAGAUGGGUACUGAGACAAGGACCCAGGCCCUAUGGGGCGCAGCAGGCGAGAAAACUUUGCAAUGUGCGAAAGCACGACAAGGUUAAUCCGAGUGAUUUCUGCUAAAGAAAUCUUUUGCAAGUCAUAAAUCCACUAGUGAAUAAGGGGUGGGCAAGUUCUGGUGUCAGCCGCCGCGGUAAAACCAGCACCUCAAGUGGUCAGGAGGAUUAUUGGGCCUAAAGCAUCCGUAGCCGGCUCUGUAAGUUUUCGGUUAAAUCCAUGUGCUCAACGCAUGGGCUGCCGAAAAUACUGCAUAGCUAGGGAGUGGGAGAGGUAGACGGUACUCGGUAGGAAGGGGUAAAAUCCUUUGAUCUAUCGAUGACCACCUGUGGCGAAGGCGGUCUACCAGAACACGUUCGACGGUGAGGGAUGAAAGCUGGGGGAGCAAACCGGAUUAGAUACCCGGGUAGUCCCAGCUGUAAACGAUGCAGACUCGAUGAUGCAUUGGCAUAUAGCCAGUGCAGUGUCGCANGNNGCCGUUAAGUCUGCCGCCUGGGAAGUACGUACGCAAGUAUGAAACUUAAAGGAAUUGGCGGGGGAGCACCACAAGGGGUGAAGCCUGCGGUUCAAUUGGNUUCAACGCC